GGCUGCAAGGAGACAGAGAACAUGAAGUGCCUAGAAUUUGGUUUAAUGAUUAUCUGACUUUUAAAAAGUCGUUAUUCCAUUAUUUACAUGUGGCUUUAUCAUUUACGGGUGAACAUAUUACAAGACCAUAUACUUUUAACAGGAUAACUAAAGAAGAAGGCUGCUUAAGACACUACUAAAGAAAGGCUGUAGGCAAUCCAAGGGUUAAAGUAAGGAGUGAAGCAGAAAGCAGCGACUUCAGAAGCCAGGGCAUUGCAAAGAAGACAGAUGGCAGCAUUACCCAUCAGCAUAACAGUUGUAUAUCGCUGCUGCUGAUAGAAUGACCUGCUGUUGCUGAAGAAGGAACAUCCUGACAGGAAGCAGAGGAGCAGACCCAUGAUUCCCCCAGCAGACAUGAAAAGUGAAGCUCCUAA